rnacentral:rRNA from 1 species
UCCUACGGGAGGCAGCAGUGAGGAAUCUUGCGCAAUGGGGGCAACCCUGACGCAGCAACGCCGCGUGAGUGAGGAAGGUCUUCGGAUCGUAAAGCUCUGUCGGGUGGAAAGAAACGUAUGGAAGCUAAUACCUUUCAUACUUGACGGUACCACCAAAGGAAGCACCGGCUAACUCCGUGCCAGCAGCCGCGGUAAUACGGGGGGUGCAAGCGUUGUUCGGAAUCAUUGGGCGUAAAGGGCGUGUAGGCGGCUUGGUAAGUCAGAUGUGAAAGCCCUGGGCUUAACCCAGGAAGUGCAUUUGAAACUGUCAGGCUUGAGUAGGGGAGAGGAAGGUGGAAUUCCUGGUGUAGAGGUGAAAUUCGUAGAUAUCAGGAGGAACACCGGUGGCGAAGGCGACCUUCUGGCCCUAUACUGACGCUGAGACGCGAAAGCGUGGGUAGCAAACAGGAUUAGAUACCCGAGUAGUCC